AACGGUCAUACCAUGCUUAAUAUGCCGGUUCUCGUUAGAUCACCGAAGUCAAACAUCAUUGGGCGCGGUCAGUACUUGGCUGGGUGACCACCUGGGAACACCGCGUGCCGUU
rnacentral:rRNA from 1 species